CGAAAGCCUGACGGAGCAAGACCGCGUGGGGGAAGAAGUCUCUUGGGUUGUAAACCCCUUUUCUCUGGGAAGAAAGUUGUGAAAGCAACCUGGCGGUACCAGAGGAAUCAGCAUCGGCUAACUCCGUGCCAGCAGCCGCGGUAAGACGGAGGAUGCAAGCGUUAUCCGGAAUGAUUGGGCGUAAAGCGUCCGCAGGUGGCAGUUCAAGUCUGCUGUCAAAGACCGGGGCUUAACUUCGGAAAGGCAGUGGAAACUGAACAGCUAGAGUAUGGUAGGGGCAGAGGGAAUUCCUGGUGUAGCGGUGAAAUGCGUAGAGAUCAGGAAGAACAUCGGUGGCGAAGGCGCUCUGCUGGACCAUAACUGACACUCAGGGACGAAAGCUAGGGGAGCG
rnacentral:rRNA from 1 species